rnacentral:lncRNA from 1 species
GUACAGUCAUUUUGCAUUGGAAAAUGCUAUGUGAUGGUAGCAUAAUAUGUUACUUUAUUUGCAUCUCUCCUCAUUAACUACAUGCCAUAUUAUUAUUUUUGUUUAUGUGGCUUGUUUGUUGCUCCUAUUUAUGUUACUUCCACUAUGACCAGCCUAAGAUUUGCCAACAUUUCACAGUAUUAGUUGUACUAGGGGUCCAGGUGCAGAAAUGUUGGAGCCGCAAAACUUUACCGAUUAACCAUGCAUCAAAAGAAAAUUCAGAAAGGAUCGAAGAAAAAGAGAGAUGAUGGGGUCAGAAAUACCCUGACAUGAUAUUUCUGUCUUCUGCUUAUAUUCAAAGAAAAGAAAUCAAACCAUCUCCGAUGUUUCCUCUCAGUUCACCCUUCCAUUCCAUGCCCGCAAACUGGAUGUGUGCCUUGCUCUGGCAUUUGUUGUUUGCCUAUUGAUUUUGCUAGUGAACAUUUGUCAAAUGAUUAACUAUUCCUCCGUUCUUAAAUAUAAGUCUUUUUAAAGAUUCCAUUAUGGUUACAUACGCGUGUAUACAGACAUAUUUGAGAGUGUAUAUUCAUUCAUUUUGCUUCGUAUGUAGUCUUUAGCGCAAUCUUUAAAAGGUCUUAUAUUUAGAAAUGGACGGAGUAGAUUUAGACUUACUUGUUCUAGUUUAUGUUUCACUUAUAUUAUAUCAAUAUAAAGAGAUGUGCUAAUUCGCAUAAUUAUAUUUGUUUCACCUAAUUCAUGGUUCCAGAAAAAGUCUUCACUGAGUAAAAGUGUGCUCACCAUGCGUGUAUGCUGUUUUUAUGAAAAAAUGAGGAUAAACAUCAUAGAUUAAAAAAAUUCACAAAUUACCCUCAAGUGGUCCAUAGACCAAUAACCCUACUUAACCAGCCCAAUAAUCUCUCUCUCUCUCUCUCUCUCUCAUCUUUUCAUAAAACACUAAAAUCAACUUAGUCUUGUUAAAAAUUAUAUAUAUUUUAUAUGAACUAGUCCCUUCAUUCCAAAAUAAGUGCCAUAGUUUUAGUUUAAUGUUUUGAAAUGGAGGGAGUAGCAAAAAAUAUGGAAAUAUUAUAGGAUUUUCAUCUAUCUAUUCACGCCAGUUUCAUGCAUAUUAGUAGUAGGAUUUAAUCCACUGUUAACAAAUAAAUUUGAAUUUUGGAUUCCAAAUAGAUUUAUUUUUCUAGAUAGAACCUAAAAAUGUAAAGAAUUGUUUAUUUAUGAGUUUAUUUUAUAUUUAGAAGCCUUUUUUGAUAUACAGGUAGUUCAAAUUGGAGUUAUAUCCAACAAUAGCUAGAAACGCAUUUUGUUUGCGAUCAUUGAAUAACUGAAAAUAGUUGGAAACUCAUUUGAUACCUAAAUAAUACAAAAUAAAUUAAACUAUCCUAAUUUUGACGUGAACAAUAUAUUUUAGUAUGUUCUCUGUAUACAAAAAGUAGAACAUUCUAGAUAAAUACUUCCGAUGGUACUACACGAG